AACGAACGCUGGCGGCAGGCUUAACACAUGCAAGUCGAACGCAUCCUUCGGGGUGAGUGGCAGACGGGUGAGUAUCGCGUGGGAACGUGGCCUUCAGUUCGGGAUAACCCCGGGAAACUUGUGCUAAUACCGGAUACGUGCGAGAGCAGAAAGAUUUAUCGCUGAAGGAUCGGCCCGCGUCUGAUUAGCUAGUUGGUGGGGUAAUGGCCCACCAAGGCGACGAUCAGUAGCUGGUCUGAGAGGAUGAUCAGCCACAUUGGGACUGAGACACGGCCCAAACGCUGAAGGGAGGCAGCAGUGGGGAAUAUUGCACAGUGGGCGAAAGCCUGAUCCAGCCAUGCCGCGUGAGUGAUGAAGGCCUUAGGGUUGUAAAGCUCUUUCGUCCGGGACGAUAAUGACGGUACCGGAAGAAGAAGCCCCGGCUAACUUCGUGCCAGCCGCCGCAGUAAGAC
rnacentral:rRNA from 1 species